UACGAGGGGGGCAAGCGUUGUUCGGAAUUAUUGGGCGUAAAGGGCGCGUAGGCGGUGCGGUAAGUCACCUGUGAAAACUCUGGGCUCAACUCAGAGCCUGCAGGCGAAACUGCCGUGCUUGAGUGUGGGAGAGGUGCGUGGAAUUCCCGGUGUAGCGGUGAAAUGCGUAGAUAUAGGAAGGAACACCAGUGGCGAAGGCGACCACCUGGACUGAUACUGACACUGAGGUGCGAAAGCGUGGGGAGCAAACAGG
rnacentral:rRNA from 1 species